rnacentral:misc_RNA from 1 species
GGGAAACUCUAAGGAGAAAACCCAGCAAAUUAUGAAAAUUCAAGAUCCUUUGCUCAAAGUAUUGAGAUUGGUGGAUGGUGAUGACAAGUUAGCAAUAAAUAUUAUAUACAAGGCAAUGGAGACAGCAAAGUUGGCAAUUAAGAAAAACUCUAAAAGUUAUAUAGAAUACUAAAAAAUCAUCCGACACAGUGAAAUUUUCAAUUACAGCA